AUGAUGUCUCAGAAUUAUUUGCUAGGUGUAUUAUUUUUUUGUAUUCAAGGCUGUUUAGGGCAGAUUGCGAUGACUCAGUCCCCAGAUUCUGUCACAGUUUCACCAGGACAAAGUGUCACCAUCACUUGUAAAUCAAGUACUAGUGUAAGGAGUAGAGGUGGUUACAACUACUUAGCUUGGUACCAACAGAAAUCAGGACAACCACCAAAGCUUAUUAUUUCUAAAGCAAACAGAAAAUCCACAGGGACCCCAGACAGGUUCAGCGGCAGUGGGUCUGGUACUGAUUUCACUCUCACAAUCAGCAGAGUGCAAGCAGAAGAUGCAGCAGAUUAUUACUGUCAGCAGGCUCACAGCUCACCUCUCACACUGUCUAAGUCUCGUGGCCCUGAGUGGAUACUCCAGCAGUUGACGAUGUCGGGGGUUGUCCCUGGCACAUUGCUGGGUUCGGAGGAUGUGACAAAGUCCUUUGUGGUUGGUCUGGCUGCCCGCAUUUUGUGCAACGGGUACUCUCUGUUGACUCCAGGAACCACUGCCGUUGUGUUGGUCCUUUUUGCGGCUUUCCGGGUUUCAGAGUUGGUUGGGGUAAAUAAGAAAGACCCAAGUGGGAUUCAGUUUUCCGAUGUCUGGUUCAAAGAAAGGCUGUUACUGGUAAUUAUUGAGGUGUUCUAUGACAGAUCAAGUAGGGAAAGGCCAUUUGCUUAG